rnacentral:rRNA from 1 species
GAUGAACGCUAGCGGUGUGCCUAAUGCAUGCAAGUCGAACGGGAUCCUUUGGAUUCGUCUGAAGGUGAGAGUGGCGAACGGGUGAGUAACACGUAGGUGACCUGCCCCGGAGAGGGGGACAACCACUGGAAACGGUGGCUAAUACCCCAGAUGUUAUUGCGCUUAGAAAGCAAUUACUAAAGUUCCGGCGCUCCGGGAGGGGCCUGCGGCCCAUCAGCUUGUUGGUAAGGUAAUGGCUUACCAAGGCUAAGACGGGUAGGGGGCGUGAGAGCGUGACCCCCCACACUGGUACUGAGACACGGACCAGAUACCUGCGGGUAGCAGCAGCAAGGAAUAUUGCCCAAUGGACGAAAGUCUGAGGCAGCAACACCGCGUGGAGGAUGAAGGCCUUCGGUUGUAAACGUCCUUUCUGGGGAGAGAAGGACGGUACCCAGGAAUAAGUACUCGGCUAACUACGUGCCAGCAGCCGCGGU